rnacentral:rRNA from 1 species
AACGCAGCGAAGGGCGAUAAGUAAUGUGAAUUGCAGAAUUCAGUGAAUCAUCGAAUCUUUGAACGCACAUUGCACCCUCUGGUAUUCCAAGGGGUAUGCCUGUUCGAGCGUCAUUACAACCCUCAAGCACUGCUUGGUUUUGGAUGUUACCAUUGUGGUGCAUCUCAAAAGUAUUGGCAGUAGCAUUCAGCUUCUAGCGUAGUAGAUUUCCUCGCUUUGGAGUUGAAGUGUCUAAUUGCUAGAACCCUUAAUUUGUCAAAGGUUGACCUCGGAUCAGGUAGGGAUGCCCGCUGAACUUAA